rnacentral:tRNA from 1 species
UUGAUUAUGGCGAAAUGGUAGACGCGGUUAGUUUAGGUCUAAUUUACUAUGGGUUCAAGUCCCAUUAAUCAUA